AUUGAACGCUGGCGGCAUGCUUUACACAUGCAAGUCGAACGGUAACAGGUUAAGCUGACGAGUGGCGAACGGGUGAGUAAUGCAUCGGAACGUGCCCGGUCGUGGGGGAUAACGCAGCGAAAGCUGCGCUAAUACCGCAUACGAUCUGAGGAUGAAAGCGGGGGACCGUAAGGCCUCGCGCGAUCGGAGCGGCCGAUGUCGGAUUAGGUAGUUGGUGGGGUAAAGGCUCACCAAGCCAACGAUCUGUAGCUGGUCUGAGAGGACGACCCGCCACACUGGGACUGAGAAACGGCCCAGGCUCCUACGGGAGGCAGCAGUGGAGCAUUUUGGACAAUGGGCGAAAGCCUGAUCCAGCAAUGCCGCGGGCAGGAAGAAGGCCUUCGGGUUGUAAACUGCUUUUGUACGGAGCGAAAAGGUCUCCUCUAAUACAGGGGGCUCAUGACGGUACCGUAAGAAUAAGCACCGUCUAACUACGUGCCAGCCGCCGCCGUAA
rnacentral:rRNA from 1 species